UGGGGAAUAUUGCACAAUGGGCGAAAGCCUGAUGCAGCAACGCCGCGUGAGCGAUGAAGGCCUUCGGGUCGUAAAGCUCUGUCCUCAAGGAAGAUAAUGACGGUACUUGAGGAGGAAGCCCCGGCUAACUACGUGCCAGCAGCCGCGGUACUACGUAGGGGGCUAGCGUUAUCCGGAGUUACUGGGCGUAAAGGGUGCGUAGGUGGUUUCUUAAGUCAGAGGUGAAAGGCUAGGGCUCAACCGUAGUAAGCCUUUGAAACUGGGAAACUUGAGUGCAGGAGAGG
rnacentral:rRNA from 1 species